AGCGAACGCUGGCGGUAGGCCUAACACAUGCAAGUCGAGCGGCAGCACAGUAAGAGCUUGCUCUUACGGGUGGCGAGUGGCGGACGGGUGAGGAAUAUAUCGGAAUCUACUCUUUCGGGGGGGAUAACGUAGGGAAACUUACGCUAAUACCGCAUACGACCCACGGGGGAAAGCAGGGGAUCUUCGGACCUUGCGCGAAUGAAUGAGCCGAUGAUGGAUUGGCUAGUUGGCGGGGUAAAGGCCCACCCAGUCGACGAUCCGUAGCUGGUCUGAGAGGAUGGUCGGCCACACUGGAACUGAGACACGGUCCAGGCUCCUACGGGAGGCAGCAGUGGGGAAUAUUGGACAAUGGGCGGGAGCCUGAUCCAGCCAUACCGCGUGGGUGAAGGAGGCCUUCGGGUUGUAAAGCCCUUUUGUUGGGAAAGAAAAGCAGCAGGUUGUUACCCCGCUGUUCUGACGGUACCCAAAGAAUAAGCACCGGCUAACUUCGUG
rnacentral:rRNA from 1 species